rnacentral:piRNA from 1 species
UAACCUUGUUCAGGGCAGCCUGUCCUCACA